UAUUUCCCCAUCUGUGUGCUUUCUGUUGGUGGUUUUGCUGUUUGAAAUGGCCCCGAAGCGUGGUGCUGCCGUGCUGUUUUGUGUUCCUCAGCCCAGAAGGCCCGGCUGUGCCCUACGGAGAAAACGGUGUGUUAGGCAGCUUCAUCCAGGCGUGAGUUAUGGUGCCAUUGGCCGGGAGCCCAACGUUAAUGAGCCAACGAUAGAUAUUAAAUAAGAGAACUUUCUGCUAGCUCUCUAAAGGAAUGAAAAUAACCUUGGGUUCUCACUAAGCAUCAAUUCUGUGACUGGCUCUGUGGGGUAGAGAUGAAAAGGCUCACUCAGUUCCAGCCCCUGCAGAUCCCCCAGGACCCUGGCGGCAGCAGAUCUAUGAGCCCACAUUUCCCCCUGCUUGUGAGGAUCACACCAAGAGAGACAUUCACAUCCUGGCCUCACAAAGAAGAGAUGGCAAAGUGGAAAAAGGCUGGAGUCCCCAACCCUGAGCCCUUUACCCUGCCUCAGUCUUUUAUAAUGAGGUGUGUGUGCUUGGGCAAUGCCUCUCUCUUCUGGGACUCAGUGUACCCAUCUCUGCUGUGGGGAGGUUGGACUAGAUGAGAGUUUCCCAAACUCCAGUUGUUUCUUUC
rnacentral:lncRNA from 1 species